ACAGACAAUCACGAAGAAGUGUUUUGUUGUCAUGGCGGUGUUUUGAACUAAACUGCCUGACAUUUCCCAUAAACACGUCUUGAUUUUAGCUUCUGUUUACCAACUGCCUGUCAUGUUAAAAUAUAAUAACACGGAUUUACUUGUCGGUUGUCAGUUUACUGUGUGUUUUCGUGUGAUAAAUCAAUUGCUUUUUGCAGUCGAUCGGAUCAGUAAGUAGAGAAUUAUUUGCUCUGGGAAAGACUAACGUUACUCAAGCCGGAUUGUUUGAAUUUAUUACUUCCAUCAAGACAGUUCGUAAAAAUAUUAUCAGGAUGAUUUCAGAUUUCCAAAAAGGGUCUGCUGUGACCAUUGGUGAACUGAGCUAUGUGAGUCGUGAAUGGAUUAAAAAAGGCUCCUCUGGGUCUGCAAACACAGAGCUCCAGUUCAAUAACAGAGUGACACCCAGUGUUCUUAACCGAGCCUUCUCCCAUCAUAAUAGAGAAAUGUAUACCCCGUACUGAGAGGCAGGAUGAUCUGGAGAGCUGCAGCAGGCAGCAGACUGACAGGAAAAUCCCACAGGACCUCACAAGAAUUGGUGAAGGAGCGCAGCGAAGUUCUGAGGGCAGGGCUAGAGAACCUCUUACAUCAUCAAAAACUGAGAGAGGCAGAAGCACAGAAACCCAACAAAACUACCAGUGCCAUCAACCCAGACCAUUGCGUUGUCUAGCCGGCCAGAGCCCAUAUGUCUGUUCUCACCUAAAAAGAGCACUGAAAAGCAGAAGCCACAGACCAGACCCAGUGGCAGCACACAGCUCAGCCCUUCAUCACAUGACAGGAAUCAAGCACAAAAUGAAGCCCUUAGGACCACAGUGCGCUCUCCAACACAGUUGGCGGAAAAAGCUGAGCAGGCCGCUAGAGAGAGGAUUCAACCUUUGUUGGAUCAAGCACAGGUGGUUGGAACAGGAAGUGACACACUCAGAGAGCGGCUGAAGGUUGCAGAUAAGGGCUGUAUCAGACACAUCAAUACUAGAUGAGGACUCUUUAACUUUAAAUGACCCCAGUCAUCCAGGAGAAAGCACACCAGGGGUUUAUCUGACUGUGCCGCCCAGCAUGCAGAGGAGUAUCCAGAAAUACAGGGAGAACCAUGAUGCGCCUGGUCUCGCACAAGUCUCUGGGGAGCUUCAGUCCUUGGACAAUAGCAGACAGGUUUGAAUCUAAUGAUUGCAUUAUUAAUAAAACAUCUCAAUCACCACUAAAAUGUGGGUUA
ensembl:lncRNA